CCUGGCUCAGAUUGAACGCUGGCGGCAGGCCUAACACAUGCAAGUCGAGCGGUAGAGAGGUGCUUGCAUCUCUUGAGAGCGGCGGACGGGUGAGUAAUGCCUAGGAAUCUGCCUAGUGGUGGGGGAUAACGUUCGGAAACGGACGCUAAUACCGCAUACGUCCUACGGGAGAAAGCGGGGGGAUCUUCGGACCUCGCGCCAUUAGAUGAGCCUAGGUCGGAUUAGCUAGUUGGUGAGGUAAUGGCUCACCAAGGCGACGAUCCGUAACUGGUCUGAGAGGAUGAUCAGUCACACUGGAACUGAGACACGGUCCAGACUCCUACGGGAGGCAGCAGUGGGGAAUAUUGGACAAUGGGCGAAAGCCUGAUCCAGCCAUGCCGCGUGUGUGAAGAAGGUCUUCGGAUUGUAAAGCACUUUAAGUUGGGAGGAAGGGUAGUAACCUAAUACGUUGCUACUUUGACGUUACCGACAGAAUAAGCACCGGCUAACUUCGUG
rnacentral:rRNA from 1 species